rnacentral:rRNA from 1 species
GUGGGGAAUAUUGGACAAUGGGGGGAACCCUGAUCCAGCCAUGCCGCGUGUGUGAAGAAGGCCUUUUGGUUGUAAAGCACUUUAAGCGAGGAGGAGGCUACCGAGAUUAAUACUCUUGGAUAGUGGACGUUACUCGCAGAAUAAGCACCGGCUAACUCUGUGCCAGCAGCCGCGGUAAUACAGAGGUUGCAAGCGUUAAUCGGAUUUACUGGGCGUAAAGCGCGCGUAGGUGGCCAAUUAAGUCAAAUGUGAAAUCCCCGAGCUUAACUUGGGAAUUGCAUUCGAUACUGGUUGGCUAGAGUAUGGGAGAGGAUGGUAGAAUUCCAGGUGUAGCGGUGAAAUGCGUAGAGAUCUGGAGGAAUACCGAUGGCGAAGGCAGCCAUCUGGCCUAAUACUGACACUGAGGUGCGAAAGCAUGGGGAGCAAACAGGAUUAGAUACCCGAGUAGUCC